rnacentral:rRNA from 1 species
AUUGAACGCUGGCGGCAUGCCUUACACAUGCAAGUCGAACGGUAACGCGGGGCAACCUGGCGACGAGUGGCGAACGGGUGAGUAAUGCAUCGGAACGUGCCUGGUAGUGGGGGAUAACUGCUCGAAAGAGCAGCUAAUACCGCAUACGACCUGAGGGCGAAAGGGGGGGAUCGCAAGACCUCUCGCUAUCAGAGCGGCCGAUGUGGGAUUAGCUAGUUGGUGGGGUAAAGGCCCACCAAGGCAACGAUCCGUAGCUGGUCUGAGAGGACGACCAGCCACACUGGGACUGAGACACGGCCCAGACUCCUACGGGAGGCAGCAGUGGGGAAUUUUGGACAAUGGACGCAAGUCUGAUCCAGCAAUGCCGCGUGCGGGAAGAAGGCCUUCGGGUUGUAAACCGCUUUUGUUAGGGAAGAAAUUCUCCGGGCUAAUACCCAGGGGGGAUGACGGUACCUAAAGAAUAAGCACCGGCUAACUACGUGCCAGCCGCCGCGGUAA